GAGAAACGGCUACCACAUCUAAGGAAGGCAGCAGGCGCGUAAAUUACCCAAUCCUGACUCAGGGAGGUAGUGACAAGAAAUAACGGACCGAAGCGUAUGUUUCGGGAUUGCAAUGAGUAGAAUUUAAACCCCUUUACGAGGAUCAAUUGGAGGGCAAGUCUGGUGCCAGCAGCCGCGGUAAUUCCAGCUCCAAUAGCGUAUAUUAAAGUUGUUGCAGUUAAAAAGCUCGUAGUUGGACUUCUGGGAGGGUGCCAAUGUCCGCUCGUUAGCGUGUGCAGCGGCGCCCUUCCAUCCUUCUGUUAACGUUUCUUGGUAUUCAGUUACUGGUUUCGGGCUCAGAUAUUUUACCUUGAGAAAAUUAGAGUGUUUCAGGCAGGCUUGCGCCGGAAUACAUUAGCAUGGAAUAAUAGAAUAGGACUUUAGUCUCCUUUGUUGGUUUGAGGGACUGAAGUAAUGAUUAAUAGGGAUAUAGGUGGGGGGCAUUAGUAUUUAAUUGUCAGAGGUGAAAAUUCUCGGAUUUGCUAAAGACUAACUUAUGCGAAAGCAUUUGCCAAGGAUGUUUUCA
rnacentral:rRNA from 1 species